UCCCGGCUGGCAGAUGGACUGUCAGAACAUCCAUAAAGUUUUAAAGUAUUUACCUGCUCCAGUGUCUUUACCGGCUCCAUUUGUGGGGCCCAUACCAGUGAUUAAGUCCCAGGCUGAAUUUCUUUCCCAGUCCGACCCUAGAGCCAAUACUAGCCUGGCUUUACCAUGAUGGAAAACCCUAUGACUGGCUAAAGGGCUCCAGUUGGACUCGGAACUGGCAUUUCUUCUCCAUGUGCAUGCUGCAGUGAAACAGAGGGAGGAGAGAGAUAGAGAGAGAGAGAGAGAGAGGAUAUGUUAUGAGGACACAAUGAGAAGCCAGACAAGGUAUGAAUGGGAAAAAGGUUUUAAAAAAAAAAAAAAAAGGGAGAAAAGACGAUGAAUUAAGAGUAAUAGAAAGGAAGAGGUGAGGGGACAGAGUGUGAUAAAGACACAGGGAAGAUGAAGAGAGGACAGAGGAAGAAAAGAGGGGAUGGUAAUUGAUUGUCUCGUUUCUCCACAUGCGCCUGUCACCGAGCUAAUUGGAGUGGCGAAGACAAAGAGGAGAGAGGUGUCAGUCACAUCAGAGCCUUUCAGGAGGGCAGUUCGUGUCAAGCUCUGAUGAGACGAACCCCCCACCCUCCCAUCCCUAACCUCAGGCUCUGACAAGGUGCAGUGUGACUGAAAGCUGUUCAUCCCCAAGGACCGUGAAAUCAACACUGGCCAUCUGUGCUGUAUGAUGCUGUAUGGCUUCGUUCUACCAUAUUGUUUGAUCAUAUACCAAGAUUAUAACAAAUAUAAUA